rnacentral:rRNA from 1 species
GACAGAGGGUGCAAACGUUGUUCGGAAUUACUGGGCGUAAAGCGCGUGUAGGCGGCUAUGCAAGUCGGAUGUGAAAGCCCUCGGCUCAACCGGGGAAGUGCACCCGAAACUGCAAAGCUAGAGUCUCGGAGAGGAUCGUGGAAUUCUCGGUGUAGAGGUGAAAUUCGUAGAUAUCGAGAGGAACACCGGUGGCGAAGGCGGCGAGCUGGUCCAUUACUGACGCUGAGGCGCGACAGCGUGGGGAGCAAACAGG